rnacentral:rRNA from 1 species
GAUGAACGCUGGCGGCGUGCCUAAUACAUGCAAGUCGAGCGAACGGACGAGAAGCUUGCUUUUCUGAUGUUAGCGGCGGACGGGUGAGUAACACGUGGAUAACCUACCUAUAAGACUGGGAUAACUUCGGGAAACCGGAGCUAAUACCGGAUAAUAUUUUGAACCGCAUGGUUCAAAAGUGAAAGACGGUCUUGCUGUCACUUAUAGAUGGAUCCGCGCUGCAUUAGCUAGUUGGUAAGGUAACGGCUUACCAAGGCAACGAUGCAUAGCCGACCUGAGAGGGUGAUCGGCCACACUGGAACUGAGACACGGUCCAGACUCCUACGGGAGGCAGCAGUAGGGAAUCUUCCGCAAUGGGCGAAAGCCUGACGGAGCAACGCCGCGUGAGUGAUGAAGGGCUUCGGAUCGUAAAACUCUGUUAUUAGGGAAGAACAUAUGUGUAAGUAACUGUGCACAUCUUGACGGUACCUAAUCAGAAAGCCACGGCUAACUACGUG